UACAGAGGUCCCGAGCGUUGUUCGGAUUUACUGGGCGUAAAGGGUGCGUAGGCGGCGGGGCAAGUUCGGGGUGAAAUCUCCAGGCUCAACUUGGAAAAUGCCCUGAAGACUUCCUUGCUCGAGGGUCGCAGAGGAGACUGGAAUUCUCGGUGUAGCAGUGAAAUGCGUAGAUAUCGAGAGGAACACCGGUGGCGAAGGCGGCUAUCUGGACCGACAUUGACGCUGAGGCGCGAAAGCAUGGGGAGCAAACAGG
rnacentral:rRNA from 1 species